rnacentral:rRNA from 1 species
GGAUAACCUACCCUCAGAUCUGGGAUAACUCCGGGAAACUGGAGAUAAUACCGGAUAAUCCGUGGACGCUGGAAUGCCUCACGGUUGAAAGCUUUAGCGUCUGAGGAUGGGUCUGCGGCCGAUUAGGUAGUUGCUGGGGUAACGUCCCAACAAGCCAAUAAUCGGUACGGGUUGUGAGAGCAAGAGCCCGGAGAUGGAUUCUGAGACACGAAUCCAGGUCCUACGGGGCGCAGCAGGCGCGAAAACUUUACACUGCGCGAAAGCGCGAUAAGGGGACCUCGAGUGCGUGCGCAAUGCGUACGCUUUUCAGAUGCCUAAAAAGCAUUUGGAAUAAGAGCCGGGCAAGACCGGUGCCAGCCGCCGCGGUAACACCGGCGGCUCAAGUGGUGGCCGCUAUUAUUGGGCUUAAAGGGUCCGUAGCCGGACCAGUUAGUCCCUUGGGAAAUCUUACGGCUUAACCGUAAGGCUGCCAAUGGAUACUGCUGGUCUUGGGACCGGGAGAGGCAAGAGGUACCUCAGGGGUAGGAGUGAAAUCCUGUAAUCCUUGAGGGACCGCCAGUGGCGAAGGCGUCUUGCUAGAACGGGUCCGACGGUGAGGGACGAAAGCUAGGGGCACGAACCGGAUUAGAUACCCGGGUAGUCCUAGCCGUAAACGAUGCGAGCUAGGUGUCACGUGGAUUGCGAAUCCAUGUGGUGCCGUAGGGAAACCGUGAAGCUCGCCGCCUGGGAAGUACGGCCGCAAGGCUGAAACUUAAAGGAAUUGGCGGGGGAGCACAAUCACUAGUGCGGCCGCCUGCAGGUCGACCAUAUGGGAGAGCUCC